CUUGGAGUGAUAAUGACAUGCCAACUGAAGGGUCAUUGGCUGUAAUAAAUGUGAGCAGAAAGCAGUUUCACACCCAGAGUCUAUGCUCACACCCAAGUCCAGCAGGAGGGACAACAUGGCCAGUCCUGUGGCAAGACGGCAAUGCCAGUGAAAGAGCAUCAGUUUGAAAGCCCAGUGGUUCAGGAUUCAAAUUCUGGCUGAGCUAUUCCCUGGCUGAGUAAUACCCUUGAGAAAGAAACUGAAUCUUUAAGAGGUGAAAUAACUUGUCCAAGGUUGCAAAGCUGAUUGGCAGCUAAGCUGGAACUCAAAUCAUUUUCUACUGAUGUCUUACAUUGGAAGGAAGGAAGGGAGGGAGAGAGGGCAAUGAAGACAUGUGAUUUUUAAACGCCUAAAAAUAGCUAUCAGUUUUCAGAAGAUUAUCAUGCAAGACCUAAGCUUUAAUAUACUUUAUUGAACACUCAAACUGUGCCAAGAAUUUGACCGUAUCACAUUUAUCUUCGUGGCUGGCCUACAAGUUUGGGAUGAUUAUUCUGUCUCACAUUUCAGAAGGAAGGUAAGUGUUUGAGUCGGGAGUUAGAUCAGGUUUCUGGGAUGUUAAUGCACAGGCUUGUUCUAACUACCUGCUGCAUGGCUUAUGCUCAGGCACAGGAUUUAGUCCCUGCAGCGAUUAGGAUACAAAGCAGCAAAAUGAGACUAAACCUGAGAGGCAACCGAAACCUAGUCCUGCGGUGGAGCCAGGAGGCCUGGGCAAGAGGAAAGAGCUGCUUUGGAAGGACUUGCCUGUAUGGAGGACAUACUCUUGACCUCCCACCUUCCUGUUUGCUAGUUCUUUACUCAUUAUUCUUUCUGGAAUCUCUGGUCACAAGACCCAGGCCAGGAGAAACUGCCAAGACAUGCCUGCCACGGCUGGGGCCCCACUCUCAGACUCAGUCUGAUGAAGGGGAUUUGAGGUGAAGCCCCGCCAGAUGGUUUCAAGAUGCUAUUUGCUCCUUGGUUUAGUUGGGCUGCUCAGAUUUCACUGUUGCCACCCUCCCUUAUUUUUUCCGAAAGCAACGUUUCCCCAUUGAGAAUGAUAUAUGCAACAAGGGGGUGGUGGUGGCAUAUGGGGGGAAUUGAAUGGUCAGUUGCCACUUGUUUUGCAUAUUCAUUUGCAGAAGAAAGAACUGUAGAGCUGUGACAAAAUAGGGGCACUGCAGCCAGAGAAUACCAUGUGGGAACUUUGAUUCCACCACACUUACUAGCUGGGUGACUUUGUAGACUUACGUAGCCUCUGUUACCAUCUAUACAAUAGCCAUAAUCAGGGAAGGGGGCUGAAGCCAGUGGUUCCACUGUGGUAGGGCACGGACACGGGACAGGCAUCACGAUUAAUAUUUCCUGCCUUGAUGAAGAAUGCCGAGAUAUAAACAGUAAAGUAAGAACAGUAGGGACUCCAUCUUAAGGCUAAUAUUCCAUUUUAAAAACCAAGGAGUUAGGAGAUAAGAUUUCUCACAUACUCUUUGAUAAUCAGCCAACAACCGACCCUAUCUUAAGGCAGGGAAAGUAGUCCUAACUGAUAUGUUCCCGGUGCUUGAGGGUAGCCACUAUCUUGGAGAAGAACAGGAUGAAUAUAUUCCUUGUGUUAAGUUUAUUUUACAGAAUUAUUCAGAAGACGGACUGUGGAUAAUGUUGUAAUAUCUUUCAGCAGAGAGAGACAUCUUGAGACCACAAGUCAAGCCUAUGCCCAAUAGCCCUUUGCCCCAUU